CUGAAAACUAAUAAGUAAUUAUGUGAAAAUAUUUUUUUCAGGCUACUGCCACCUUGAGUGCUAGAUGAAUGUUUACAAAGGUUCAUAUAUGCGUGCACAUACUGACAGGAUGAAAAGAAGGUGAUAAAGAUAAAAAUAAACAGCUAAGAAGGCCAAGCAUGCACAAGAAAUAUCUGAAGACAAAUACUCUAUAGAACAAGGUUCUACUGAAGCUCACUUACUUUGCAGAGACAGUGUUAUGUACACAAAUGGGCUUUCUAUUAUGUACACAAAUGGGCUUUCUAUUAUCGUUAUGCACGUCAAAAAAAAUUUGGGUAUAACUGUUAGUCGCCAAACCAUUCAAAGAUUAAUGCUUCCACCCCGAAAAAAAAUACAGCAAAUAAAAACUAAAAAUGUCUGAUAGAAGCACAUGUUCCUCCAAAAAGAAAUACAAAAAAAUAAAAACACAUGACAACUUUCAUUUCACUUGUGCUCAAGUUCGCGUAGUCAACGAAAUGGGAUAUCUUUGCAAAUAAAACACACUUAUGCUGUUCGUGAACAAUAAAAAUAAAGUUGAUGUGGGUAUUCCAGCAAACAGGAGAAAAACAAAAAUACACACUUUUCAACAAAGCACCCAAUUGUAUAGAUCAUGACUUUUAAAAUCCAAACUCAAAACUUGUGCCUGCUGGUUACCAAAUACAGUACUGGAAACAGGACACCUAACAUCGUGAGCGCGUAUCAUGUGCGACACGAACGAUCCGCGAUCCUAUCGUGACCAUCGCAAUGGAAAAAAUGUUACCAAAGAACUCCGCGAUAGUCGCGAUGUAUAAAAAAAUAACGAUGCAAUCGCGAUCGUCACUAUUAAUCGUGAUUGUUGCGAUGGAUUGUGAAUAACAUUAAAAAUAUUAAACAAUAGAUGGGUAUUAUCUUGUGUAUUUUUUUUAUACAUUUAAAAAUUCUUUUGCGUCUUGUAA